rfam:Streptomyces sp. NRRL B-3648 P438contig156.1, whole genome shotgun sequence.
GAGCUGUCGAAGGUGGGACUAGCGAUUGGGACGAAGUCGUAACAAGGUAGCCGUACCGGAAGGUGCGGCUGGAUCACCUCCUUU